rnacentral:rRNA from 1 species
AAAGUUGGGAGCUCGAAGACAAUCAAGAUACCGUCCUAGUCUAAAUCAUAAACGAUGUUGACUAGGGGUUGGCGAAUGUUGCUUGUAGGACUUCGUCGGCACCUUAUGAGAAACCAAAGUCUUUGGGU